AGAGAGCUCCCGCGCCCCAAAAAGAGCUCCCGCGCCAGGUAAGAAAACCCUUGCUCUUCUUUUCUUUCCUGCACAUGGAAGCAAGAAUGGAAGCCCUAGUCCACCUUCCUCGUGAGAUCAUCGACCCCACGAACCAGCACCUCAAGCGUGCAAUGAAUCUCUCCAUAAAGCACAAAUUUCUCCCAGAAGAUCUACAGUCAUAGGAUGUGAUUGGAUGGUUCUGUUGGUGGUAGAAAGCCAUUUGUUCGAAUAAAGCUACCGAUUCUGUUAAGCAUAUAGAAAUUUUAGUAGUAAUCAUAGGAGGGAAUAACUCUACUUUGGAAUCCUAUGAUAUCUACCAUAAAGAAUCCAGAGGGUAUUCAAGGAUUCCCAAUAACUACAACUCGCUCGAUCAGGUAAUUGAUUAUGGAGUUUAUAAGCUUUGGAAAUACAAUAACGUUGGGAUUAAAAGAUGCUUUGGUGUUGUUAGUUACUGGUGAACAGAGAAGUCAUUGGUGAGUUUUUUAUGCUCUUCUAUUUUUAGUGAAUCACACCUCCGAGACAAUACAAGCAGUAGAUUCAAUUUCCCUUUGAAACAGUAGAUUGAACAAGCUUCUAACUAUAAGCUUCAACAAGCAGUAGAUUCUAUCGUAUGCCACUAGUAAGGAAAUAAAUGAAACUGAAGAAUAAGCUUCUAACUAUAAGCAGAUGGUGAAUCUGCAGAAUGUUCUGAAUGGCAGAUGGUGACUUCCUAACAAUAAGCUUAUAUUCCUGAAAUAUAGCAAAAUGUUCUGCUAUGGAUAACCUUCGUAAACACUUGAUGGUCCUUCCAAACAUCUAUCUUCUCUGCUAUGUUUUGCUUGCUUUAGCUGCCAUAUGCCAUGCUUGGUGAAGGUGGCUUCGGUCCCAUUUACAAGGGGAAGCUAAUGGAUGGUCAAGAAAUAGCAGUCAAAAGGCUGGCGAGGACAUCAGUGCAAGGAGUGGAAGAGCUUAGAAAUGAAGUAGUGUUGGUGGAGACCAAACUCAUGGAAAUACGAGUCGGAUUGCCGGCACAUAUGGAUAUAUGGCGCUCGAGUACAUCAUUUAUGGCCAGUUUUCAGCGAAAUCGGAUGCAUAUAGCUUCGGCAUUUUAGUUUUAGAGCUUGUGACAAGACGAAAGACAAUUGGUUUUCAGGAAUCCGAAAGUGAUCUGGACCUUACAAACUAUACAUGGUGGCUUUGGAGCCAAGGAAAGCCGUUGGAGCUUAUCGAUGAAACUCUGGGAGGAAAUUAUGAGCGAGCUGAGGUGCUG